rnacentral:rRNA from 1 species
GACCUCGGAUCAGACGUGAGUACCCGCUGAACUUAAGCAUAUCACUAAGCGG